rnacentral:misc_RNA from 1 species
GGAAGAUGAGUACAGGAAAAAGGUUGAAGAAGGAAAGAAAAGGGAGGCAGCCUUGGAAAACGAUUUAGCAAAUAUGUGGGUGCUUGUUGCUCAGCUGAAGAAAGAGGCUGGUUCUAGGCAAGAUUCAAAGCUGGCAGCUGAAAGGCAGAAUGUAGAAGACAGGCUGAACGAUGUAAAAAUCAAUGAUAUCAACCAAAAGGAGCCAAACCUCGCUGAUAGCCUAUCCGUG